GUAACGGCCCACCAAGGCGACGAUGCGUAGGGGUUCUGAGAGGAAGGUCCCCCACACUGGUACUGAGACACGGACCAGACUCCUACGGGAGGCAGCAGUGAGGAAUAUUGGUCAAUGGCCGCAGGGCUGAACCAGCCAAGUCGCGUGAGGGAUGACGGUCCUAUGGAUUGUAAACCUCUUUUGUCAGGGAGCAAAGGACGCCACGUGUGGCGUUUUGCGAGUACCUGAAGAAAAAGCAUCGGCUAACUCCGUGCCAGCAGCCGCGGUAAUACGGAGGAUGCGAGCGUUAUCCGGAUUUAUUGGGUUUAAAGGGUGCGCAGGCGGAAUGUCAAGUCAGCGGUAAAAUUUCGGGGCUCAACCCCGUCGUGCCGUUGAAACUGGCGUUCUUGAGUGAGCGAGAAGUAUGCGGAAUGCGUGGUGUAGCGGUGAAAUGCAUAGAUAUCACGCAGAACUCCGAUUGCGAAGGCAGCAUACCGGCGCUCAACUGACGCUCAUGCACGAAAGCGUGGGUAUCGAACAGGAUUAGAUACCCUGGUAGUCCACGCAGUAAACGAUGAAUACUAACUGUCCGGGCCGAUUGAGGUCUGG
rnacentral:rRNA from 1 species